rnacentral:rRNA from 1 species
GGGCGCAWKYCUGAUGCAGCCMUGCCGCGUGUAUGAAGAAGGCCUUCGGGUUGUAAAGUACUUUCAGCGGGGAGGAAGGGAGUAAAGUUAAUACCUUUGCUCAUUGACGUUACCCGCAGAAGAAGCACCGGCUAACUCCGUGCCAGCAGCCGCGGUAAUACGGAGGGUGCAAGCGUUAAUCGGAAUUACUGGGCGUAAAGCGCACGCAGGCGGUUUGUUWAGUCAGAUGUGAAAUCCCCGGGCUCAACCUGGGAACUGCAUCUGAUACUGGCAAGCUUGAGUCUCGUAGAGGGGGGUAGAAUUCCAGGUGUAGCGGUGAAAUGCGUAGAGAUCUGGAGGAAUACC